CAAUGAAAACAUGGAUCUUGUGGUUUAUAUCUAAUACUACUUUUUCUAACUCCAGACUUUGUAGGUAAGGAGUUAAUGUCUUUGUUCUUCCUGCAAAAAUUAGCAAGAUGAUUAGUAUUUCCACAGUUAUGGCAUGUCUUCCUAGGUGCAUUUGGAGCAGGUAUGUAGUUAUUACUCUUGUUUAUUCCAACCUUGCCAUUUCUAUUUUUCCUAGGCUCCUUGUCUUUGCUAUCAGACUUUAAUUCUUUAAGCUUAUGCUUAAGCUGUUUCUGAGUCAUCAGUCCUAUGUUAACCUGUUUGGGC
rnacentral:lncRNA from 1 species